CGCGUGGGUAAACCUGCCUCAUACAGGGGGAUAACAGUUGGAAACGACUGCUAAUACCGCAUAAGCGCACAGGAUCGCAUGAUCCGGUGUGAAAAACUCCGGUGGUAUGAGAUGGACCCGCGUCUGAUUAGCCAGUUGGCAGGGUAACGGCCUACCAAAGCGACGAUCAGUAGCCGACCUGAGAGGGUGACCGGCCACAUUGGGACUGAGACACGGCCCAA
rnacentral:rRNA from 1 species